UUGGUUUGGCAGCACAUAUACUAAAACUGGAACAAUACAGAGAAGAUGGGCAUGGCCCCUGUGCAAAGAUGACCUGCAAGUUCAAAAAAAAAAAAGAAAAGAA
rnacentral:snRNA from 1 species